GACCACAGGGUGGGGAGAGAGCCCGUCGCUCUCCCUACGUGACCGUCCGGAGCGCUCGUUCAGAUGGGAGGAGGUGUGUGUUUCAUUGAUUUGGGUGCCGUCUUUUCUCUGCAGCUGUGUCAGAAGACAGCGAUCUUCGGAUUUUCACUCCACCGAGUGAAUACCCUUUUGAAGAGAAUGUCUACGGGAAGCCUACGGUUCCCCCGCGUGGGUGGCCCUCCUCUAGAAAUGAAGCUCGCUUCUUGAACGGAGGGGAUCUGUGUACGCCAUCAUUCUUUCGGGACGAUUUCUCAGACGCUAGCUUCGGACCGCCACAUAGAUCGUCCCCGACGUUGCCUCAAGGGUCCCCACCGACCGUCCCCAGCCUGCCCACUCAAGGGAGCCGGGCCCCUUCUGAUCUGUCCGCCCGCCGUGAAGCUCCCUCCCGAGGGUCCGAAAGCCCACCUGUUUCCCAGUUCGGUUGAAUGAUGCAGCACCCGGGCGGGGCACUGGCACCCAGUGACUCCGUUCUGAGUCUGUGCGCUCUGGGGCACAUCCCGGCUCUUAAAGCCACUCUCGGGGACACUCUCCCACGUACACGUAGAUGGCCUGCACGAGUGAGUGCUCUUCCUUUCUCGAAACAUUGGAAAUCUGUCCGCCAUUUUACCUGACCUGACGGUGUGUGAUAAAGGAGCAUAGAACCCUCAGCCACCCUCCGCCUUCCCGCUGCCACGAGAGACGGUGCGGAGCGUGAGAGUCUAUCCCCGGCUCUCCCUCGACUCUCCGUGUCCACCGGAACGUGGCCCGACUGCAGUGACACCAGCUAUGUUAAGUCGGUCUCUGGUGACAGAUAUUGCCACGCUUGUACUGACCGGGCCUUGAGAUCGUGAGUGGGUCAACUCUGAAACUCCCUGUACUCUACUUCUCUCUCGGGUAGGUCCCUGUCCCAACCCUCCGGCUUCUAGCACACACCCAGUGUCACUCUCUCCUCUCGGGAUAAAGUUCCAAGUUCCAGAUGAUCCGAUCCGCUCCAAGGAGGAA